AUGUUGUGUGGACCCCAGGAAGUGUAUUAUGUCAUGUUUCAUGUUGUGUGGACCCCAGGAAGAGAAUUAUAUAAUGUUGUGUGUGGACCCCAGGAAGAGAAUUAUAUCAUGUUGUGUGUGGACCCCAGGAAGAGAAUUAUAUCAUGUUUCAUGUUGUGUGGACCCCAGGAAGAGAAUUAUAUCAUGUUGUGUGGACCCCAGGAAGAGAAUUAUAUCAUGUUUCAUGUUGUGUGUGGACCCCAGGAAGAGAAUUAUAUCGUGUUUCAUGUUGUGUGGACCCCAGGAAGAGAAUUAUAUCAUGUUUCAUGUUGUGUGUGGACCCCAGGAAGAGAAUUAUAUCAUGUUUCAUGUUGUGCGGACCCCAGGAAGAGAAUGAUAUCAUGUUUCAUGUUGUGUGUGGACCCCAGGAAGAGUAUUAUAUCAUGUUUCAUGUUGUGUGUGGACCCCAGGAAGAGAAUUAUAUCAUGUUGUGUGUGUGGACCCCAGGAAGAGAAUUAUAUCGUGUUUCAUGUUGUGUGUGGACCCCAGGAAGAGAAUUAUAUCAUGUUUCAUGUUGUGUGUGAACUCCAGGAAGAUAAUUAUAUCAUGUUUCAUGUUGUGUGGACCCCAGGAAGUGUAUUAUGUCAUGUUUCAUGUUGUGUGGACCCCAGGAAGAGUAUUAUAUCAUGUUUCAUGUUGUGUGGACCCCAGGAAGAGUAUUAUAUCAUGUUUCAUGUUGUGUGUGGACCCCAGGAAGAGAAUUAUAUCAUGUUUCAUGUUGUGUGGACCCCAGGAAGAGAAUUAUAUCAUGUUUCAUGUUGUGUGGACCCCAGGAAGAGUAUUAUAUCGUGUUUAAUGUUGUGUGGACCUCAGGAAGAGAAUUAUAUCAUGUUUCAUGUUGUGUGGACCCCAGGAAGAGUAUUAUAUCAUGUUUCAUGUUGUGUGUGGACCCCAGGAAGAGAAUUAUAUCGUGUUUCAUGUUGUGUGUGGACCCCAGGAAGAGAAUUAUAUCGUGUUGUGUGUGGACCCCAGGUAGAGAAUUUAUAUCGUGUUUCAUGUUGUGUGGACCCCAGGAAGAGUAUUAUAUCAUGUUUCAUGUUGUGUGGACCCCAGGAAGUCUAUUAUGUCAUGUUUCAUGUUGUGUCGACCCCAGGAAGAGAAUUAUAUCAUGUUGUGUGUGGACCUCAGGAAGAGAAUUAUAUCGUGUUUCAUGUUGUGUGGACCCCAGGAAGAGAAUUAUAUCAUGUUUCAUGUUGUGUGUGGACCCCAGGAAGAGAAUUCUAUUGUGUUUCAUGUUGUGUGGACCCCAGGAAGAGAAUUAUAUCAUGUUGUGUGGACCCCAGGAAGAGUAUUAUAUCAUGUUUCAUGUUGUGUGUGGACCCCAGGAAGAGAAUUAUAUCGUGUUUCAUGUUGUGUGGACCCCAGGAAGAGAAUUAUAUCAUGUUUCAUGUUGUGUGUGUGGACCCCAGGAAGAGAAUUAUAUCAUGUUGUGUGGACCCCAGGAAGAGUAUUAUAUCAUGUUUCAUGUUGUGUGUGUGGACCCCAGGAAGAGAAUUAUAUCGUGUUUCAUGUUGUGUGGACCCCAGGAAGAGUAUUAUAUCAUGUUUCAUGUUGUGUGGACCCCAGGAAGAGUAUUAUAUCGUGUUUAAUGUUGUGUGGACCUCAGUAAGAGAAUUAUAUCAUGUUUCAUGUUGUGUGGACCCCAGGAAGAGUAUUAUAUCGUGUUUCAUGUUGUGUGUGGACCCCAGGAAGAGAAUUAUAUCAUGUUUCAUGUUGUGUGUGUGUGGACCCCAGGAAGAGAAUUAUAUCAUGUUUCAUGUUGUGUGGACCCCAGGAAGAGUAUUAUAUCGUGUUUAA
rnacentral:lncRNA from 1 species